AGGCACCAGACGCGAUUCAAGAUUCAAGUUCCAAGAGGCAAGAUCCGAGAUUCGGUGUUCGAGGCCCACGCCCGUCUCCCAGAAGGCAGCGACACUAUUUCAUCCCGUCGCGUCCCAACGGAUCCGGCGACGCGACGAUGUCUCGGUUUGAGUAUUAUGAUAAUUACCGGCCUGCGACUGUGUGGACUGGAAUUCGGCAAUUAUUGUGCUCGCAAGAAGGAGAGGGAACGGGAAUCACGAGGCGCUUUAAACCUUCGGAUGCGAAUUCCGAGCGCAUGUAUCGCGUUCCUCGACCGAUCGGCAAGGAUUCCGGAUACGGAUCGGUCGGAGAUGACGCAGAUGUUUGUCCAUCCAGUUCAGGCUCACUGACAUCUCGUCCCGGAACACGUGCUAUUUUCAUUUUUCAACACAAUUUUUACACCUACGUCGCAUCGUACCUGCAAACAUGUAUAAGUUGUUCACUCGGCGAUACCGUAUAACUCUCGACCAGAAUUGAGGAAAAAGGAAAGACGUUAAGAUUCGUAUUGUUCACAACGUAGUGAAUGCUGCCAUUUGAAAGUGAAUCAGACGUGCUGAGAAAAUCCCUUGUCGAAACGAACGACGAUACGAGACAAUAGGAAAAAAAAUUAAAAUGGACAGUAAUGUAAUUUCGUCGUUUACCGCGGUAUGAAAAUUUUGAACAAGGUGGAAAUGUUACCGAACUAUAAAGCUUUACAAUUUUGAAGAAAUUAGCAAAACUAUGGAACAUGUGCGACUAUGUAAUGUUUAUUCACAUUGUUACGUAAGUCAUUAAAGACAAAAACAGAGAGAAUGAAAAAAAGAACGUCAUCAUGUUGAUAAAUAGCUGACAAUGAGAUAUGUGGUAUCAAAGUUGACUACGCAAAAACACACUUCUUCAUUCCAAAACAUCAUAAUGUGUCAGAAUUCCGACAGACUGUGCCGCUUACAAUUAGUUGAAUCCCUACGCUAGAAAUUUUUCCAAGCAAUGGUGUUCAAAUUCUACGAUAAAGUGCAAGUACGAGACAAUUAAGUAAAGAACUGCUCAUGCUUGUCUAAAAAUUACAAAGCAUAACGAACCAUGAUCUAAAAUCGAUUUUUAUGUACCGAAAUCGUACACAACGGUAUCCAACAUAAUGCAGGUGUAGAUGUGUGAAACAUUUAUUCAGGUAUGAGAUGUACGUGAAAGCCGAAAAGAUAAGAUUUAACGGGUUUCCUGGCAGACAGGAAAGGCCAGCAACUCGGUCGAGGAAAUGCCUCUGAUCAACAUUCUUCUCGGUCACCCACGUGCAGGCAAUGAACUCAUUCCGCAGCAUCUUAUGCUUCACAAUUUAUAUCACGACUCAAGAACCGGCCUUCAAAUGGCCGGACGAGAUCAAGGGAAUUCAUUCCCUCUUCUGAAAACUGGAUCCUUCCCUUCUUACCACAUUCAAGCUGCAAAUCGGUGCCACAAUGGUCAAAAUGCCCAUCUUCUCUCGUCACUGCCGGCUAGAGGUUGCAUUUUUAUGAUCCUUUUAAAUGUACCUUCACUCUCUGUGAUUACUUUUCGUAUUAGCUUGUCGGAUGAGUUUGCAGGUAUGUAUGAUAAAUUCGGGAGGUACGUGUUUCUAUGAUUAAGUUGAUGAUGUAUACUGCAGUGAUGUACAAGGAUAUAAAUGUUUGUUGACCUAUCGUCGUCUAUAGCUGGUCGCGAGCUUCUGUAGGAGUGGAUCCUGUUUCGGUUUAUAAAAAAUGCUGAGAGUUGCGCUGUGUCACAGUUGCAAUCAGACCCGAAGUGACAGUCUUCGCGGCGAUAAAUCGUGGAAUUGCAAUGAGUUCGCUGUCUUUUCUAGUGGCACCAAGCCAGAAGACGAACAAAGAAUUAAGUCAAACGUUGCGUACAUGGAUGUUACUUAACCAACGAUCGGGUAACGGUGCGACGUUCAAAUUGAUGACAAGCCAUGAACAACAGAACUGAUACAACCGUUGUCGAAAGUUAGAGGAAAGAAAGAAACCAGAGAUCCAAUCUACGGCGUAAUUCGUUCAAAAAAGGAACCUCACUGCGAAGCGUUGCGUAAUUGAAUAGCACGCUGUUAUAAUCUGAAUCUGCAAGGUCUUUCGAAGAGGAACUCGCAGGAAUUUGAAUGCCCGAAAAAUGGAUACCCCCACCGUCAUCCCGUCUCAGGAAUCUAUGAAGGAUUACGCAGUUAAUUAAUACGAAUUGCUUGCUGAUGAAAAAAAAUCAUGCCUUAAAUCAUUCGGCAAAUUGCUUCGGGCUCAUCGCGCUUGCAUCAGAUUCUUUCAUUAAGAUGUUUUGACUUUUAUAGUAGGUAUGAUUUUUCAAGGGUAAGAUUAUUGACACAGUUGUACAGGUAUACCGAGAAACCAUCAUGUUAUUUACACUGUUCAUUCUAAUUUCGAUAAUGCGUUUAUUAAUUAAAGUGGAAUUGUAAAAUUACAGCGAAGACCAUCUAAGGUUGGCAAUAAAAUUUCCAAUUAUUUUGUAA
rnacentral:lncRNA from 1 species